rnacentral:tRNA from 2 species
GCCGAUGUAGCUCAGUGGCAGAGCACGUUCUUGGUAAGAACGGGGUCGGGAGUUCAAUCCUCCCCAUCGGCUCAA